GGACGUGUUGUUUCCUAUGAAAACAUUUUUGUUUUAUGUUUUCCUAGGGAAAUUAUUCAUGGAUAACUGUAGUUUUUACAAGGAACUGUUUUAUUGUCCGUUACUGUAUCAUUAUCAAAAAAUAAUAUUAGUGUUUGUAAUUUUUAACUGUUACACAUAUAUGGCGUAGGAAAGUGAAGAGAUUAUAUGCAUAAAUAAUGCAC
rnacentral:lncRNA from 1 species